rnacentral:rRNA from 1 species
CCUACGGGUGGCAGCAGUGAGGAAUAUUGGUCAAUGGGCGGAAGCCUGAACCAGCCAAGUCGCGUGAGGGAUUAAGGCCCUGCGGGUCGUAAACCUCUUUUGCCGGGGAGCAGUGGUCCGGACGAGUCCGGGCCGGGAGAGUACCCGGAGAAAAAGCAUCGGCUAACUCCGUGCCAGCAGCCGCGGUAAUACGGAGGAUGCGAGCGUUAUCCGGAUUUAUUGGGUUUAACGGGUGCGUGGGCGGGCAUUUAAGCCGGCGGUCAAAUGUCGGGGCUCAAACCCGGCCUGCCGUCGGAACUGGGUGCCUUGAGUGGGCGAGAAGUAUGCGGAAUGCGUGGUGUAGCGGUGAAAUGCAUAGAUAUCACGCAGAACCCCGAUUGCGAAGGCAGCAUACCGGCGCCCGACUGACGCUGAGGCACGAAAGUGCGGGUAUCGAACAGGAUUAGAUACCCUUGUAGUC